rnacentral:rRNA from 1 species
UACAGAGGUGGCAAGCGUUGUUCGGAUUCAUUGGGCGUAAAGGGUCCGUAGGCGGUUCGGAAAGUUGGAGGUGAAAUCCCAUGGCUUAACCAUGGAACUGCCUUCAAAACUUCCGGACUAGAGGGUGAGAGGGGUAGAGGGAAUUCCCGGUGUAAGGGUGAAAUCUGCAGAGAUCGGGAAGAACACCAGUCGCGAAGGCGCUCUACUGGCUCAUUUCUGACGCUGAGGGACGAAAGCUAGGGGAGCAAACGGG